rnacentral:lncRNA from 1 species
UUUCCCCCCCGCCUUCCUCCAGUUUGAUUUCUUCGUGGGCUGCCCGGCGUUUGCUUGACCCGGCUAAGCGAGGCGACGCUGACUGUCAGAUCGCAGGAGCUACAAGCCAGGAAUUUCUGGCCGCAGCCCAGCGCGCUUUCGGAGCUGUUACAGAAGAAGGGAGGGAGGACCAAACUUGUCAGGGUAGCCCUGACGCGGAGAAGGUUAUUUCAUGUUGUUGUGGUUGGAUGAAUCUGGUGCCGUGAAGACUCCUGGAGGGGCACCUUAGGAGCCUGGAGGAUUGCAGCGGGGAGACCGAACCUCUUCGGUAUGGCCAGCAGGAGGCAGAGGAAACCGAAAGCAGCAGCGGAGGGGAGGCUCCGCCGUGCUGCGAGACCGACGGAGAUGCAGCCUUCAGCGCGGGGAGAGAGGAGAUUGCAGGAGAAACGUUAGUGCAAAUCAAGCAGCCGAGCUGAAAGGUGAGUUAUCUCCCCCUACCCCCAAAAAAAGCAGCCGUGCAGGUACCGGAAGGGCCGAGGUUCAGGCACAAACGCAUCUAGGAAAGCUCAGGACCGUCCUGCUGGAAGGCCGGCGUUGGCCACGCGAGGGCGAGGAGCGGUUUGCUGCCAGUGCGUUUUCAGUAAGUGGUGGGGUUUGGGCUUUGGUUUAGUUUUUCUUUUUCUUUUUUUCCCCUCCUCUUUACCACAACUACUGAGUUUAUGCGUGUUUGUGCAGACAGCCGCUGCCUUGCCGCUAUAUAUAGCAAGGCGUGGGCUAACGCUGCCUUCAAAACAGGUAGCCGGGCCUGAUCCUUGCCCUGGCAGCUUGCAAAAUGCGUCGUAGGUAGCGGCAAAGGGCUGCCGGUGCCGAGAGCCGUGGGGGCAGAAGCUGGUUUUACAGGGAGGUCUGGCGGGGGGUCGGCACCCUUACGGGACGCUCCGAGUU